UACGGCUAUUUAGUUGAAGUUGCAGAUAAUGAAUCUGGAACGGAAAUCUCACGAUGAGACGUACUGAGGUUCCCUGGAAAAUUGAAAUGGCGUCUCUCAUGGCCGCCCGGCGAGCACAGAUGUCCAUUUUCUGUUCUCUCUUCAACGUACGCUCUUCUCCAUUCCCUUCUCACAUCUUCCUCAAGCACAACCAGAUUCCAUCCCCUGGAAGCACCUCUGCAGUUCCAACUGACUUCCUUAGAGUUCCACAUCAAUCGGAUUCCAAUUCUUCCCAAAACCCUGGCCAGCGGACACUCAAGGCCGCAGAGACCCUAAUCACAAGACUCCACAACAGUAAAACUGCUAGAACGCCCAUAUGAUUCCAGUCUUUUCCGAGACCGUAGCAACUCCGAGACUGCAGAAACCCUAAUCAGCAGACAACACAGCAGUCCUAAGGAUCAGUUAGAAUUCGCAUGCCCAAGUUUCGGUCAGCAUCGUCAAAAUCCUAAUGGGAACCAUAAUUAUCUAUUGCAGCAGGGACGAUUUAUCAACCGAACAAGUUGUUCGUGCUGAUGUUCAAUGUUUCCUUGCGCUCUUUGAGGGGAGUGGGAAUUCGAAGGUACUUGAAGAUGCAGCGAAAGUUCAUGAUUUCUUUUAGUAGUCCACUUUUAGGGGUGAUCUUCACUUGAACAAUAGACUUCUUGAGAUGUAUGGUAAGUGUGGGAGUAUGAAAUGGUGCGCCUAGGGUGUUUCAUCACAUGCCGGUUGGGAUUAUGAAUUCUUGGCGCAUGAUGAUAAAUUCAUAUGCAGAAAAUGCGUUGCCGCUGUUUUAGGAGAUGAGGAGGCUAGAUUUGCAACCCAAUGAGCACACUUAUUGUUUCUGCUGCAAGUGGUACUGCAGAAGCUAUGGAAGAAAGGGUUUGUACAUUUGGAAUUUAUGAAAAAUGAUUAUGUUAUAGCUCCUGGGAUUGGCCAUCAUUUGGGGCUUUUAAAUGUCCUUGGGAAAUCUGGGUAUUUUACUGAAGCCAAGGAGUAUAUUGAAAAUAUGUCCAUGGGAGCUGUAGUUGUGUUUUGGAGUCUAAUGAUCUCUGCUAAAAUCUAUGGGGAUUUUAAUCUGCAAGAUUAUGCUGAGGAGAUAUUAGUUACCUUUCAUCCUUCAAAGGCUAUUGCAAAUAUAAUUCCUACACCUCGUUCAAAGAAGCACUCUGCUCUCUGCAGUCAACAUGCUUGGUGGAAGGAACAGACUCGCUCUCUGCAAGGAUGAUUAAAAGAUUAAAGGCUUGAGUGGGAUGAAAGAAGCAGGCUAUGUUCCGGAUCAACAUAUGUUCUUCAUGACAUUUAUCAGAAGGCUAUGGAGCCUUGUUGCAUCACAAUGAGUGUUUGGCUAUUGCAUAUGAUUUGAUUAGUACUAUGGCAAGGACACCUCUUAGGAUCAUCAAGAAUCUUCUCCUGUGGUGACUGUCACACUGCUAUCAAUAUAAUGUCAAACAAUGUCAUCGUUAGGGACAAUAAACAGUUGCAUCAUUUCAAGGAUGGUAAAAAUGCCCUUGAGGGGACUAUUGGUGAAAUCCAUAAAACGUCUACUGUGGGUGUGCAGUGGGAUUUUCAUUCGCAGUUCUGCAUGUAAAAUUUGAACAACCAAGCUCUAUGAGCUACUGUGGACAGAAGAACCAGAGUUGCUGAGUGUAGGAAUUGUACAAGGAUGAACUUUCUUCAUUUUUUCCGCAUUCCCCCUCUGCUUUUUGGUUUUUAAAGCUGAGGUAAAAGUUGAUUGCUUGUUCAACAAAGUCAUGGGAACCCAAAUAGAAUUGAUUCAAAGCACCAACACAAUCUUACCAAUAAUGAGAAAGGAGCAACAGCGGCUUCUCCUCCGAGAGUGGAAUAAAUGGGAAGAGAAGAAUGCAUGGGGAAAAGAUUUUGAUGUAAAGGACAAACACGCAGCCAGCAUUAUUCCCUCCACACCAACCCUCUUUUUUUGAAAAUUUAUAGUACAAGAAUGUCCAUUCUCACAUAUUUUUACAACCCACUCUGAAACAUUUCUCUGAAUUUUUAGUAUUGUAUCAGUUCAAUCCCACAAUUCCAAUUAUUAUUGUAUAGAAGACGGGAGAAUAAUAUUUGCUGUGAUUCCUUUGAGAUGAAAUAGAUGGGUGUAGGAAAAUAUUGGAGUGUGGGAUGGAACACUUGUAGGGUCUAUGGGAAAUUUCAUCUUAUCGAAUAUUAUGGAUGAAAAGUUGUAACUGUAUUAUGUAUAUGUUGGAACAUGUGACUUAAGAAAUUUGUCAUAUC